rnacentral:rRNA from 1 species
CAGUCGCCACGGGAAUACGAAGGGUGCAAGCGUUACUCGGAAUUACUGGGCGUAAAGCGUGCGUAGGCGGCUAAUUGAGUCGGAUGUGAAAUCCCCGAGCUUAACUUGGGAAUUGCAUUCGAUACUGGUUAGCUAGAGUAUGGGAGAGGAUGGUAGAAUUCCAGGUGUAGCGGUGAAAUGCGUAGAGAUCUGGAGGAAUACCGAUGGCGAAGGCAGCCAUCUGGCCUAAUACUGACGAUGAGGUACGAAAGCAUGGGGAGCAAACAGGAUUAGAUACCCCAGUAGUCCCUGUCUCUUAUAC